rnacentral:rRNA from 1 species
GAUGAACGCUAGCGAUAGGCCUAACACAUGCAAGUCGAGGGGCAUCACAUGAAGUAGCAAUACGGAUGGUGGCGACCGGCGCACGGGUGAGUAACACGUAUGCAACCUGCCUUCAACAAGGGGAUAACCCGUUGAAAGACGGACUAAUACCCUAUAACACAGGGGUCCCGCAUGGGAAUAUUUGUUAAAGGACAACCGGUUGAAGAUGGGCAUGCGUUCCAUUAGCUAGUUGGCGGGGUAACGGCCCACCAAGGCAACGAUGGAUAGGGGAACUGAGAGGUUUAUCCCCCACACUGGUACUGAGACACGGCCCAGACUCCUACGGGAGGCAGCAGUAGGGAAUUUUCGGCAAUGGGGGAAACCCUGACCGAGCAAUGCCGCGUGAACGAUGAAGGUCUUCGGAUUGUAAAGUUCUGUGAUUGGGGAAGAAUGGUAUUCUUAGGGAAUGAGGAGUACAUGACGGUACCCGAUUAGAAAGCCCCGGCUAACUAUGUGCCAGCAGCCGCGGUAAGUCACU